CCUACGGGAGGCAGCAGUGAGGAAUAUUGGUCAAUGGACGAGAGUCUGAACCAGCCAAGUAGCGUGAAGGAUGACUGCCCUAUGGGUUGUAAACUUCUUUUAUAUGGGAAUAAAACGUUCCACGUGUGGGAUUUUGUAUGUACCAUAUGAAUAAGGAUCGGCUAACUCCGUGCCAGCAGCCGCGGUAAUACGGAGGAUCCGAGCGUUAUCCGGAUUUAUUGGGUUUAAAGGGAGCGUAGGUGGAUUGUUAAGUCAGUUGUGAAAGUUUGCGGCUCAACCGUAAAAUUGCAGUUGAAACUGGCAGUCUUGAGUACAGUAGAGGUGGGCGGAAUUCGUGGUGUAGCGGUGAAAUGCUUAGAUAUCACGAAGAACUCCGAUUGCGAAGGCAGUUCACUGGACUGCAACUGACACUGAGACUCGAAAGUGUGGGUAUCAAACAGGAUUAGAUACCCCGGUAGUC
rnacentral:rRNA from 1 species